AGUGGGUGACAGCCCCGUACGCGUAGAUAUCACGAUUGUCCUAGAGUAGGGCGGGACACGAGAAAUCCUGUCUGAACAUGGGGAGACCACUCUCCAAGCCUAAGUACUCGUGCAUGACCGAUAGCGAACAAGUACCGUGAGGGAAAGGUGAAAAGCACCCCGACAAGGGGAGUGAAAUAGAACCUGAAACCGGAUGCCUACAAACAGUCGGAGGGGGCAACCCUGACGGCGUACCUUUUGUAUAAUGGGUCAACGACUUAGUGUAACAAGCAAGCUUAAGCCGGUAGGUGUAGGCGCAGCGAAAGCGAGUCUGAAUAGGGCGAUAUAGUUUGUUGCAUUAGACCCGAAACCGAGUGAUCUAGCCAUGAGCAGGUUGAAGGUUGGGUAACACCAACUGGAGGACCGAACCCGCAUCUGUUGCAAUAGAUUGGGAUGACUUGUGGCUAGGGGUGAAAGGCCAAUCAAACUCGGAAAUAGCUGGUUCUCCGCGAAAUCUAUUUAGGUAGAGCGUCGAGCGAAUACCCCCGGGGGUAGAGCACUGGAUGGGCUAUGGGGACUCACCGUCUUACUGAUCCUAACCAAACUCCGAAUACCGGGGAGUACUACUCGGCAGACACACGGCGGGUGCUAACGUCCGUCGUGAAAAGGGCAACAACCCUAACCUCCAGCUAAGGUCCCCAAGUCAUGGCUAAGUGGGAAAGGAUGUGAGGAUCCCAAAACAACCAGGAUGUUGGCUUAGAAGCAGCCAUCAUUUAAAGAAAGCGUAACAGCUCACUGGUCUAAAUAAGGGUCUUUGCGCCGAAAAUGUAACGGGGCUGAAGCCAUGCACCGAAGCUGAGGAUUUGCAGCAAUGCAAGUGGUAGCGGAGCGUUCCGUAAGCUGAUGAAGGGAGACCCGUGAGGGCUCCUGGAGGUAUCGGAAGUGCGAAUGUUGACAUGAGUAACGAUAAAGAGGGUGAGAGACCCUCUCGCCGAAAGACCAAGGGUUCCUGCUUAAAGUUAAUCUGAGCAGGGUUAGCCGGCCCCUAAGACGAGGCGGACACGCGUAGUCGAUGGGAACCACGUUAAUAUUCGUGGGCCUGGUGGUAGUGACGGAUUGCACAAGUUGUUCUGGUUUAUUGGAUUAUCAGGGCAGCGGAGCGGUUCCAGGAAAUAGCUCCACCGUAUAGACCGUACCCGAAACCGACACAGGUGGUCAGGUAGAGUAUACCAAGGCGCUUGAGAGAACUAUGUUGAAGGAACUCGGCAAAUUGCACGCGUAACUUCGGAAGAAGCGUGACCCCAUUUUAGGCAACUAUGAUGGGGUGGCACAGACCAGGGGGUAGCGACUGUUUAUCAAAAACACAGGGCUCUGCGAAGUCGCAAGACGACGUAUAGGGUCUGACGCCUGCCCGGUGCUGGAAGGUUAAGAGGAGAGGUGCAAGCUUUGAAUCGAAGCCCCAGUAAACGGCGGCCGUAACUAUAACGGUCCUAAGGUAGCGAAAUUCCUUGUCGGGUAAGUUCCGACCUGCACGAAUGGCGUAACGACUUCCCCGCUGUCUCCAACAUAGACUCAGUGAAAUUGAAUUCCCCGUGAAGAUGCGGGGUUCCUGCGGUCAGACGGAAAGACCCCGUGCACCUUUACUAUAGCUUUACACUGGCAUUCGUGUCGGCAUGUGUAGGAUAGGUGGUAGGCUUUGAAGCGGGGACGCCAGUUUCCGUGGAGCCAUCCUUGAAAUACCACCCUUAUCGUCAUGGAUGUCUAACCGCGGCCCGUCAUCCGGGUCCGGGACAGUGUAUGGUGGGUAGUUUGACUGGGGCGGUCGCCUCCGAAAGAGUAACGGAGGCGCGCGAUGGUGGGCUCAGACCGGUCGGAAAUCGGUCGUCGAGUGCAAUGGCAUAAGCCCGCCUGACUGCGAGACUGACAAGUCGAGCAGAGACGAAAGUCGGUCAUAGUGAUCCGGUGGUCCCGCGUGGAAGGGCCAUCGCUCAACGGAUAAAAGGUACGCCGGGGAUAACAGGCUGAUGACCCCCAAGAGUCCAUAUCGACGGGGUUGUUUGGCACCUCGAUGUCGGCUCAUCGCAUCCUGGGGCUGGAGCAGGUCCCAAGGGUUUGGCUGUUCGCCAAUUAAAGCGGUACGUGAGCUGGGUUCAGAACGUCGUGAGACAGUUCGGUCCCUAUCUGCCGUGGGUGUAGGAAUAUUGACAGGAUCUGUCCCUAGUACGAGAGGACCGGGAUGGACAUAUCUCUGGUGGACCUGUUGUCCUGCCAAGGGCAUAGCAGGGUAGCUAUAUAUGGACGGGAUAACCGCUGAAGGCAUCUAAGCGGGAAACCCACCUGAAAACGAGUGUUCCCUAUCAGAGCCGUGGAAGACGACCACGUUGAUAGGCCGGGUGUGGAAGUGCGGCAACGCAUGAAGCUUACCGGUACUAAUAGCUCGAUCGGCUUGAUCGU
rnacentral:rRNA from 1 species